rnacentral:ncRNA from 1 species
AAGAAAUCGACGACAGGGAUAUCCUUCCUAUUCUGAAAACCAGAGAGGAUGCGGUUGGUGAAAGCAUCUGGAUGAAUAGAAAGAUUCCACCCUGGAGAGAAACACGAACCGCUGCAGUCGUUGGAAUUUAUUUCAUAUUCCUAACAGAGUGAAUACGAUAUUCUGAAAAAAACAGGGUGGAAAAGUGUUUACGGAGAUCCCCGUUAUCGGACUUGAGUGGCUGACUGAAUUGUAGUUAGCAAUUAGGGUGGUACCGCGGAUCUUUCGUCCCUUAG